UCCCAGAUACGUUGUUACAACGUAACUUUGUGACGUUACCAGUUAGUAAGCACGACGUUGUGACAACGUAACUUUGUGACUUUACCAGUUAGUAAGCACGACGUUGUGACAACGUCACGUUGCGACGUUACCAGUUAGUAAGCACGACGUUGUGACAACGUCCUGUGCUGGUACUAAAUAUGUCAUUUUCAAGGCGGACAGUUGGUGUCCUCAUUUGCCCACACCUCAUUUAAAGACUAUUUAAAUCUGCUGAAUGAUGAAUGCAUACUCAAAAUUAGAAGGGGAAUGUAGAGGAAUGCAGAACAAGCGAACUACUCCAAUUCUGCAGGGCCUACUGGCAGUCGAUCCUAAAGAAACAGCACAACAACAAAACAACAGGAAAUGUUCAGUUUCUUGCUACUGCUAAUUAUUCAGGAAUAAUAUACCAUUUUAAAAUCUUCUCAAAGACAAAG